rnacentral:rRNA from 1 species
UACGUAGGGCGCAAGCGUUGUCCGGAAUUAUUGGGCGUAAAGAGCUCGUAGGCGGCUUGUCACGUCGGGUGUGAAAGCCCGGGGCUUAACCCCGGGUCUGCAUUCGAUACGGGCUAGCUAGAGUGUGGUAGGGGAGAUCGAAUUCCUGGUGUAGCGGUGAAAUGCGCAGAUAUCAGGAGGAACACCGGUGGCGAAGGCGGAUCUCUGGGCCGAUACUGACGCUGAGGAGCGAAAGCGUGGGGAGCGAACAGG